CUAGUCUUGAUCAGACAUCUUUCUAAAUCUGUCAUCAUUUGUUUAUCUUUAAUAAACAUUUAAAAUUAGUUUUACUAAACAUAAGCAUGUCCCUUAAAUUUUUGAGACAAGAAUCGGCGAGGUAGAGCGACGAGUCACACCCGUACAACAGUUUUAGAUUUUAAUCUCCAAGUCUAUCUUGACACCCGUUUCACUUUUCAGGGUGACGACUCAAGAUAUUUAGUAUCUAUACACGUGCCACCAUCAAAGAUAUUAUCCAAUGUGCUACCGUUGACCUGUUCAAUGAGGACUCAAUUUUAAGAAGAUUAAAAAAUUCAAACCAGCAGACCUUGUCAGUCGAUUCAACAUCUAGAAGCUGAUGGAUUCAACCAAGCCAUCCUGAUAACAUGCACUAUGCCUAACUCAUUAUUUUCAACAUCACAUUUAUUAUAUUACGAUCCAAGAUCUUCAGAAUGUGUUCAAAUAAUUUACAUAGGGUCGGUGAUAUUGAAAAGGAAGUUGGCAAAUGAACUUUACAAAGGUGAAGUGAAAGAGGAAUUGGUGGAAACGUUUGGAGGAAAGUUUGAUUCCUCUGAACAUAUGUACACAAGUUGAUGCAGACGUGCACAACCUUGGAGACUGUGGGAGUUUUGUGCGAUUCUCGACGGAUCUUUACACCACAGCUAAGUGUACCUUUAAAAAUUAGCCAAAGAGAUGGUGAAGCUGAAAGAAGAGAGUGUAAAAUAAAAAUAACAAAAACGUUUAA